UACACAGUUAUUUAUCAUUUUCUAUUAAUUCAGUUGUAGCCACUACAAUAUCUAUGACACUGGUAGUAAUUAUAAGAACAAUAAUGAUGUUCUAUAAGAGGAAAUGAUGAUUAGGAACAAAAACUUACAGAAGAUAUCAUGCGGUGGAUGGAUAAUAUGCAAAAAAUAUUAAGCAGUAUAUGAAUUUUCGUAUUGCGUAGAGAUAACAAAAUGAAUUUUAAAAAAUGUCGACACGGUAAUAAGAAAUAGCAUCAUGACAAAGAAUAUAUAAAGACAGUUUCAUUUUUUAUAAAUAAAAAUUUGUUGUUCCAGAUUUUGAAAUACAGUGAAACGUUUAAUUAGUAUCUUAAUAUCUUUAAAUAAUUAUUAUUUUAGAAUCAAUUGUAAUUGUAUCAUACGUACUUUUGAAUUCGUGCAAGAACAUAUGUAAUUUUGAAGUAGUUAUUAUUAGGAAACUGUUAGACGCGAACAGUAUGCGAAAAGUUAGUAUGCAGUGUAAUAAUUAUCAAUCAAAACACAAGAAUUAAAUUCUUGAGGAAAAAAUUUCCGGAAUUUCUUAUUUACAUGAUUAUAAAGAAAUCCAUAAUAAAAAGGAGCUGCUUUCUAAUACUUCUCUUCCUUGUAAUGCCUACGUUAACAAUAACGAGGUUCGACUUUUUGUUUUUAGAGGGAUACUGGAAAAUUUGAAAGUACAGUACCAUUGGGAAGAAAAUCACGAUAUUGAAAACGAUAUUUGCAAGUAAAUUUCCAAAAAAUCUGUUUUCAAAUUUUCGCUUUCUAUUUCACAUUAAAAGAAAGGGAGGGCUGCCUUCUUUUUCUGCAAGACAAAACAAACAUUCUUAAUCUCGUAUCAAUGAAUGAUGUCAAUAAGUUAUUUUUCUUUUCAGAUUGAACAAUAUUCCAGAUUUAUUCAUAAUUUCAUACUACGCGAAGAAUAGACUUUCAUAGGUAUAUAAAGGAAAUAUUAAGUAUAGGAAAACUCUUUUUCGUUGUAGGUGACAUAUGCUUCACGGUUGAACACAUGUAUUUUUGAACACAUAUAAAUGAAAAAGUACUCUUAUGGAGAAAAAGAAUUGAUACCUUCGAUUGACAUUAGAUAAUGUAUAUAAACUUAUGAACAAUCACUAUCAGUUUGUAUUUUAGGUGCACACGCAGAUUUGUUGGAGUUUUUAUAAAAUGUACUUCCUGUACGAACGUUUUAUUCUUCCAAAUUUUACGAUACUAUGUCUCAUAUAAUAACUAUAUGGAUUAAACGUAAUAUAAAUGAUCCGAAAAUAGACUCGAACGACAUUAAUUGUCUUUCUAUUUAUACCAAUAUGGAAAAUACAAGUAAAGCUGGAGCAAUAGUAUGCAAGAAUGGACUAUUUAUUAUUUUAAACCAAAUCAUAGCAUAUUCAGAAUGCACAGUAUUAUCAUGAAAUGUAAAUGAAUCAGUUGUAAACGAACGAUUUUACUGUAAAAUCAUUGCCUCCUUUUUUUCAUCUGAAAUAUAGCAGCAAUGAGUACAUUCUUUUAAUAUAUAAUAAAACAAGAUAUCUUUAUAAAGUUACAUAUGUCAUCACUGGUAACUGUUAUCUCGUAUGACACCAAAUAUACCGUUAGUAUGGAAUGAUAUUUUUAUGAAGAUAUACUUUAAUGAUAGAUUUUAUGAAUGAAACGUUAUAUAAGAAAAAUUAUCUCUUGUUAUUCUAUGAAGUGUAGUAGCUAAUGAAGAUUAAUUUUACGAAGUAUUAGAGCAAAAGAGAAUUAAAAAAUUAAAAAGAUCUAAAUAAGA